UUCACCUGGGUUUCCAAGCUCUUAAGGUUGGCUUUCUUUUCUUUCAAGUCUUCUGCGAUCAAGUCCUUGGCUUCAUCCAGGUCCUUUUCAAUUACUUUCUCCUCUUUAUCUCUUUCUUUGUCUUUGUCUUGGUCUUUGUCGUUUUCAAGAACUUUUUCGUCUUUAUCUCUUUCCUUGUCUUUGUCUUUGACUUUGUCUUUGUCAUUUUCAAGUACGUUUUCGUCUUUAUUUCUUUCUUUGUCUUUGUCGUUUUCAGUUACUUUUUCUUCUUUAUCUUUUUGUUCGUCUUUAUCUGUUGAACGUUGAGCCUCAGAGACAUGUAGAAAGACAAUAAGAGCGACAACGAGAAGCACAAUAGAGAUCUUUGCCAUGUUUUAUUAUUACUUUUC
rnacentral:lncRNA from 1 species